CAACAGUCCUGAGGAUCUGGUUCAGUGAUUUACUGAAGCUUGUUUGAUAUUUCUUGCAGAAGACUCAAUUUCUGAUCUGCUCUUAUAGCAGGGACCCUUAGGUGAAAGAUUGAAUCUUUGUGACACCCACUGGACGUCUGGGAAACUCCAAAGAUAACAUUUUAUUUAUUUAUUCAUGAGAGACAGAGGAGGAGAGAGAGAGAGAGGGAGAGAG